UGGGUUUUACAUUUGUUACGAAAUCAACCAUAGAUGAAUUCCCUUUUUUAUUUGGGAGUAAUGAAUACGUCCAUAAUUCUGAGUUUCAUGUUACUCCUACCAAGAAACAUGUCAAAUCCAGGGCAUCCCAAUUGGAUACAGCCAUGCCGACAACCUUUGUUGUUUUUUUGCUGUUGAACCAGAUUGAAAGUCGCCCACUGCAGAAGAAGGCCUUGCAAACACUAGACGAUAACAAUAAUGGAUUUCCAAAGCGCUUCCCUUAUCUAUUCUAUGUGGAUUUUGAAGCAUCAAUGGCUGACCAGAAAGCACAGAAUGCCCUUGGGCAUCUAAAGGUGUAGUCGGUUUUAUUAUCAUUCAGCUUUGAAAUAUAAAUUUUAGUUGUAGAUGAUAUAGGAAGAUGUAUUCCUUUGGCAGGAGAUUGCUACAUUCUUGAGAGUGCUGGGGAGUUACCCAUCAGACAUUAGCAUGACAUGAAUGAUGCUGAAGCCCUGGAUUUUGUGAUAAUGCAGGGCUCAUGGAAGGUUUUUUUGGGCCAAAGAGACAUCCUAAUUUUGUUUUUGGUCUCAACGUCAAAUUUGUACAGAAAUUUGAGAUGUUUGUGCACUGCUGGAAGUAGAGAUUCUAAUCAACAUCUUACAUCUUAGAUGGAUAUGUAGAUUGUGUUCUCACAACAUUCUGAAACAUCAGUCAAAACUAAAGUUGUACUAUUCACUUUUCAAGGUGCAUUUGUUUUAUUGAUUUUUUAUUUUCUUCUUCAUAUUAGAUUGUAUAAACAAAGGGGAACAAAUGUGAGCUCUGUUUUUGUACCAAUAAGCUUGUACUAUAUGAUUACUCUCAAAACAGUCUAGUUCCUCAAAAUUCAUGCUUCUACUUGAGGUAUUUUGAUGACUUUUGAAA